AUUGAACGCUGGCGGCAGGCCUAACACAUGCAAGUCGAGCGGAUGAGGGGAGCUUGCUCUCUGAUUCAGCGGCGGACGGGUGAGUAAUGCCUAGGAAUCUGCCUGGUAGUGGGGGACAACGUUUCGAAAGGAACGCUAAUACCGCAUACGUCCUACGGGAGAAAGUGGGGGAUCUUCGGACCUCACGCUAUCCGAUGAGCCUAGGUACGAUUAGCUAGUUGGUGAGGUAAAGGCUCACCAAGGCGACGAUCGUUAACUGGUCUGAGAGGAUGAUCAGUCACACUGGAACUGAGACACGGUCCAGACUCCUACGGGAGGCAGCAGUGGGGAAUAUUGGACAAUGGGCGAAAGCCUGAUCCAGCCAUGCCGCGUGUGUGAAGAAGGUCUUCGGAUUGUAAAGCACUUUAAGUUGGGAGGAAGGGCAGUAAGUUAAUACCUUGCUGUUUUGACGUUACCAACAGAAUAAGCACCGGCUAACUUCGUGCCAGCAGCCGCCGUAACAC
rnacentral:rRNA from 1 species